rnacentral:rRNA from 1 species
UACGGAGGGUGCAAGCGUUAUCCGGAUUCACUGGGUUUAAAGGGUGCGUAGGUGGGAAUGUAAGUCAGUGGUGAAAUCUCCGUGCUUAACAUGGAAACUGCCAUUGAUACUAUGUUUCUUGAAUUUUCUGGAGGUAAGCGGAAUAUGUCAUGUAGCGGUGAAAUGCUUAGAUAUGACAUAGAACACCAAUUGCGAAGGCAGCUGGCUACAGGUGGAUUGACACUGAGGCACGAAAGCGUGGGGAUCAAACAGG